ACCUUGUCCAAGUCCGAUUUCUUCUCCGUGGACUCUGGAUGUUUCUCGAGGAUGUGCAGCAUGGCGUCGUGCAGCGUCAGGAAGAACAUCGACGACUGAACCUCAUCAUCAAAGAAGCAACAGUCGUGCAGUUUCUUCAGGAUGUAAGCUACAGGUGAUGAGAAGAGAGCAGAGAUGUCUAGAAAAGAGACAGCAGCAAAGUCCAGGACCAGGCUGUGGAGGUCCACUCUGGGAACAACGAUGUUGGCGGGUAGCUCGGCACUCCAGUCGAUCCGGACAGGAAGGUCCUUGAAGUCAGUGGGCAGGUCCAGCUCCUCCAUGUUGCUCUGAUCCUCUGACUCCUUGAUGAAUCCACCUGAGGUAUUCAGGAAGCCUCUCUGUAAUGACUUUCUGGAAGUUCGUGUAAAAUUUGCACUACAUUUGGAUGGAAACUUGGCUUAUAUCUGAUGGGAAGCUGUUGAGGGAUUCUGAAGGAACCUUGUAGUGCCGCUAAGGAUUACUGCUUCCACCAGCUUGCUCCUGAAGAACUCGAUGUUGGCAAAGAAGAUUGGUGAUGGUAUCCUGAAGAUCUUGACUCCCUCUGUCUCAUAUAUCUGGAGAGAGUCAUUCACUUUACACCCUAGUUAUAGCCCAAAUCACGGUAAAGCAUAACAGUAGUGAACGAGCAAAGGCUCUGACACAGCAACCCGACGGCCGACCCUCGGCAGAAAAGGCAGUCGGACUGAUCAUGUGGAUCCCGUCUCCCCGAGGUCCAAAAAGUGCCUCGGAACACACCGAAGCAACGCCAACUUGAGCGUAUGUUCUGCGCAUGCACGAGACGCAAUACGUCUCCAUAACAGCAGCCGGCGCUAAUCUGUA